rnacentral:rRNA from 1 species
UACAGAGGGGGCAAGCGUUAUUCGGAAUUAUUGGGCGUAAAGGGCGCGUAGGCGGCUUGGCAAGUCGAAGGUGAAAUCCCUCGUCUUAACCGAGGAACUGCCCUCCAAACUGCUUCGCUUGAGACCGGGAGAGGUGAGUGGAAUUCCCAGUGUAGCGGUGAAAUGCGUAGAUAUUGGGAGGAACACCAGUGGCGAAGGCGGCUCACUGGACCGGUACUGACGCUGAUGCGCGAAAGCGUGGGGAGCAAACGGG